rnacentral:tRNA from 1 species
GCCCCCAUCGUCUAGCGGCCUAGGAUAUCGGGUUCUCAUCCCGAAGACAGGGGUUCGAGUCCCCUUGGGGGUA